rnacentral:lncRNA from 1 species
GACAUCAGGGAAAAGGCAGAGGUGCCUUUGUCUGUGCAGUCACUCAGGUUUCUGCAGCUGGAGCUGAAUGAAAUGGAGGCGUUUGUGAACCAGCACAAGUCCAAGGUUAUCAAGCGUCAGUCAUCACCACCAUGACCACCCUGAAGAAGAACCUGGCAGAUGAGGAUGCAGUGUCCUGUCUGGUGCUAGGCACUGAGAACAAGGAGCUCCUAGUGCUGGACCCUGAAGCUUUCACCAUUUUGACCAAGAUGAGCCUGCCCAGUGUCCCUGUCUUCCUGGAGGUUUCUGGCCAGUUUGAUGUGGAGUUCCGAUUGACUGCUGCCUGCCGAGAUGGGAGCAUCUAUAUCCUGAGAAG